UACAGAGGGUGCGAGCGUUAAUCGGAAUUACUGGGCGUAAAGCGUGCGUAGACGGUAGCGUAAGUCAGAUGUGAAAGCCCCGGGCUCAACCUGGGAACUGCAUUUGAGACUGCUCUGCUCGGGUGCGGAAGAGGGAAGCGGAAUUUCCGGUGUAGCGGUGAAAUGCGUAGAUAUCGGAAGGAACACCAGUGGCGAAAGCGGCUUCCUGGGUCCGACACUGACGCUGAGGCGCGAAAGCGUGGGGAGCGAACAGG
rnacentral:rRNA from 1 species